rnacentral:lncRNA from 1 species
AUGGAAUAUCGGCUAGUAAACUCGGAGAGCCUUCCAAACGCGAGGUCCUCUGAGGAGUCUGAAGACACAUCCAGGCUGCGCUACAGGACCUAUCAGAUUAGACGCACAGCAGCCCCUGUGGAUCAUCCUGUUUCCCGCCACCUCACGAGCACUCGAUACCAACUUCUAGAUUUUGCUGCUGCUGAAGCUGUGGCGAUAGGUAUUCGUUUCCUGUUUGGAUUGAUUGUCGGAGAUUUUCCAAUUGGUUGUAUGAUCUCUAGGACUAUAGGAUUGUAGGAUUGGUAGGAUCAUGGAUAGUUAAGGCUUUCGGCGUGCAGACAUUUCUAUUUGAUCACAUUUAUAACCUUGUCUUCUAUGAUUUCUGUAUUUGGGGCCUUGGACAUCCCCGCUUCAAAAGCAGAAAAGAAAGAAAGAAAGGAAAAACUCGAUUGUGGCUGUCGACCAAGAGGAGAGGCUAGAAAGCAACCAAAUGCAUUUAUUUGGGGCCUUCGGGAUUGUAAUCCCCAAGGGACAAGGCAUGGCGUUGACCAAAAUUGGAAGUGUCCUCCCCAAUUUUGAGAGGGGAGUGCAGGCUUAUAAAGGUUCAAAAGCCACAAGGUUACAAAACUUGUUUUAAAAGAAUUGUGAUUGGUGCUACAGAGUUUGAAUUCCCUAACGCGAUGGGCGGCUCAGCUAACAGGCGUUACAUCCUCUUUAUUUCCGUCCAAAUUAGAAGGAUGUGUUCCAGGAGGUGGUCCAGGUAGAACGGACAGGUUGCAAAUGACAAAAAUCAAGAGUUUGUGGUGUUCCAAGAGUUGAAACGGGAGAAGCCAGAGGCCCUGCUUCCUCAGUAUCUUCCCCACCCUAUUGUAAAUGACUCAACAAUGUUCACUUCACUUAGGCAUCUUCUUCCACACUUUUCUUCUUUUCUUUAAGUUUAUUUAUUUCGAGAGAGAGACAGCGGGGGAGGAGCAGAGAGAGAAGGAGAAAGAGAAUCCAAAGGAGGCUCCAAACUAUCCGCGCAAAGCCCAGCACGGGGCUCGAUCAUACGAACCGUGAGAUCACGACCUGAGCCAAAAUCAAGAGUCGGAUGCUUAACCGACUGAGCCACCCAGGCGCCCCUUUCUUCUAAUACUUAUAUUAUUAUUCCUUUAGUUGUGUUGUUGUUUACCUUUAGCUGCAUUUCAUUAGAUACAAGAAAUGAGGUAGAACUCCAAGCUUACAUUUUCCAAACAGCUACCUGGUUAUCUUAAUACCAUUUAUUGAAUAAUCUGUCUUUUUCAUUGUUCAAAGAACAAUUUUAUUUUUUCAUUUGCAAUAUAGUUAUAUAUUAUUUCCUUUCCUUUUUUUUUUGAGUUUCGAGAGUUCUUUAUAUAAUCUAAUACAAGGCCGUUAUCAAAUACGCAGCAUGCAAAUAUUUCCCCCUAGUCUGUGACUUGUCUUUUCUCUUCUCAACAGUGUCUUUUCAGGAGCGCCUGGGUAACUCAGUUGGUUAAGCACCUGACUCUUUUUUUUUCCUUUUUUUGAGAGAGAGAGAGGGGGGGCGCAAGUGAGUGAGGGGCAGAGAGAGAGAGAGAGAGAGAGAAGCGGGUCUCAUCCAAAGGGGGGCUUGAGCUCACUCCAUGUGGGACUCAAACUCACGAACUGAGCUGUGAGGUCAUGACCUGAUCCGAAGUCAGAUGCUUAACCACUCAGCCACCCGGGCACCCCUGACUCUUGAUCUCAGCUCAGGUCUUGAUCUCGGGGUCAUGAGUUCAAGCCCUACGUUAGGCUGAGCGCGGAGCCUCCUUAAAAAAACAAACAAGGGGUGCCUGGGUGGCUCAGUUAGUUAAGCAACCAACUCUUGGUUUCCGCUCGGGUCGUGAUCUUGGUGUUCGUGGGAUCGAACUCUGUGUCCCGCCCCACACUGACAGCACGGAGCCUGCUUGGGAUUCUCUCUCCCACUCCCUCUCUGCCCCACUCCCAUGCUCGCUCACUCUGUCUCUCUCAAAAAUAAAUAAACUUGAAAAAAUUUUAAAACA